UUCCUUCCUGGACAGGAGUUUUGUGAGUUUUGGUUUCGCUCAGGACGAACGCUGGCGGCGUGCCUAAUACAUGCAAGUCGAACGCUUCUUUUUCCACCGGAGCUUGCUCCACCGGAAAAAGAGGAGUGGCGAACGGGUGAGUAACACGUGGGUAACCUGCCCAUCAGAAGGGGAUAACACUUGGAAACAGGUGCUAAUACCGUAUAACAAUCGAAACCGCAUGGUUUUGAUUUGAAAGGCGCUUUCGGGUGUCGCUGAUGGAUGGACCCGCGGUGCAUUAGCUAGUUGGUGAGGUAACGGCUCACCAAGGCGACGAUGCAUAGCCGACCUGAGAGGGUGAUCGGCCACAUUGGGACUGAGACACGGCCCAAACUCCUACGGGAGGCAGCAGUAGGGAAUCUUCGGCAAUGGACGAAAGUCUGACCGAGCAACGCCGCGUGAGUGAAGAAGGUUUUCGGAUCGUAAAACUCUGUUGUUAGAGAAGAACAAGGAUGAGAGUAACUGUUCAUCCCUUGACGGUAUCUAACCAGAAAGCCACGGCUAACUACGUGCCAGCAGCCGCGGUAAUACGUAGGUGGCAAGCGUUGUCCGGAUUUAUUGGGCGUAAAGCGAGCGCAGGCGGUUUCUUAAGUCUGAUGUGAAAGCCCCCGGCUCAACCGGGGAGGGUCAUUGGAAACUGGGAGACUUGAGUGCAGAAGAGGAGAGUGGAAUUCCAUGUGUAGCGGUGAAAUGCGUAGAUAUAUGGAGGAACACCAGUGGCGAAGGCGGCUCUCUGGUCUGUAACUGACGCUGAG
rnacentral:rRNA from 1 species